rnacentral:snRNA from 2 species
GUGCUCACUUCAGCAGUGCAUAUACUAAAAUUAGAACAGAGAAAAGAUGAGCAUGGCCCCUGCACAAGAAUGACACAGAUUCCUGAAGCAUUCCAUACUUUU